GGAGUCUGGGCCGUAUCUCAGUCCCAAUGUGGCCGUUCAACCUCUCAGUCCGGCUACUGAUCGUCGCCUUGGUGGGCCGUUACCCCGCCAACAAGCUAAUCAGAUAUGAGCCCAUCUUUCAGCGGAUUGCUCCUUUGGUAUCACGAGGAUGCCCCCACGAUACGUUACGCGGUAUUAGCAGUCGUUUCCAACUGUUGUCCCCCUCUGAAAGGCAGGUUGCUCAUACAUUACUCACCCGUCCGCCACUAAGUCAUACGGUCCUUCGACGAAUCUCCGGUCCAUAUGCUUCGUUCGACUUGCAUGUGUUAGGCACGCCGCCAGCGUUCAUC
rnacentral:rRNA from 1 species